AGAGUUUGAUCCUGGCUCAGGAUAAACGCUGGCGGCGUGCCUAACACAUGCAAGUCGAACGCCCUUCGCAAGAAGGGAGUGGCGGACGGGUGAGUAACACGUGGGUAUCUGCCCUGAGGUGAGGAAUACCGGCGAGAAAUCGCCGACAAGACCGCAUACGCUCGGCAACGAGCAAAGUCGCAAGACGCCACAGGAUGAGC
rnacentral:rRNA from 1 species